rnacentral:rRNA from 1 species
UACAGAGGUCCCAAGCGUUGUUCGGAUUCACUGGGCGUAAAGGGUGCGUAGGUGGCGAGGUAAGUCGGAUGUGAAAGCUCGGAGCUCAACUCCGAAAUGGCAUUGGAAACUACCUUGCUCGAGGGUCGGAGGGGAGACUGGAAUACUUGGUGUAGCAGUGAAAUGCGUAGAUAUCAAGUGGAACACCAGUGGCGAAGGCGAGUCCCUGGACGGGUCCUGACACUGAGGCACGAAAGCUAGGGGAGCAAACAGG